rnacentral:rRNA from 1 species
UACAGAGGGUGCAAGCGUUGUUCGGAAUUAUUGGGCGUAAAGCGCGUGUAGGCGGCUUUGCAAGUCGGGUGUGAAAGCCCUCAGCUCAACUGAGGAAGUGCGCCCGAAACUGCAGAGCUUGAGUGCCGGAGAGGGUGGCGGAAUUCCCCAAGUAGAGGUGAAAUUCGUAGAUAUGGGAGGAACACCGGUGGCGAAGGCGGCCACCUGGACGGUUACUGACGCUGAGACGCGAAAGCGUGGGAGCGAACAGG